rnacentral:sRNA from 1 species
UUAAUUUUCAUUCACAUAUGUUAGAUUGAUUUCUACAUUUGUGUUUAAGAUAUAGAUGUUAAAAAUUUGGUGCAAAAUCGAGAAGAUUAUCUUAACACAGUUAAAUGAACAGACCUCAGUGGACAACAAUUUCUGGACAACGAUUUCUGGACACGUUCUUCUUUACCUUUUUAUCUCAAAAUCCAAUCGAGAAGAUCAUCUUAACAGAGUUAAAUGAACAGACCUAUGUGGACAACAACUUCUCGACACGUUCUUCCCUUGAAUUUGUGAUCAUUUAUGUUAUAUUUUGAGAUGUUUUGUAUAUAAAAUCAAACUUGGACUUGUAUUUUAAAACUUAAAAAUCAAAUUGAGAAGAUCGUCUUAACAGAGUUAAAUGAACAGACCUUUGUGGACAACACUUUCUGGACACGUUCUUCUUUACCAUUUUAUCUCAAAAUCCAAUCAAGAAGAUCAUCUUAACAGAGUUAAAUGAACAUACCUAUGUGGACAACGACUUGUGGACACGUUCUUCCCUUGAAUUUGUGAUCAUUUAUGUUAUAUUUUGAGUGUCUAUAUACAAGUGAACUAAUGUGUUGAAUAAGCAAAAAAAACAGAUGAUUUGUUUUGACCAACUUGUGAUUCUUGCAUCACCAAUGACACUCUUUUCAUUAAAAAAACAAUUGAUGAAAGCUCUACACAUGAACCAUUUGUGUUCCAGUGUUUGUCAUGUUUCUAUGUCAUGUUUCACCAUUACGCCAUAUGGUCAAGUCUAAGUGGACAAUUUAUCAUGGACUAAACUAUCAUUAACUAGUUGGGUUUUGUGUGUUGCUAUUUGAAAGCAAUGUCUACAGAUUGUUCUUGGGUUUUGGAGACAUCUAAGAUUAUUGGGUUCUACAUAAAUAAUUGGUGUUGGAAGCUUGGAUAGUUUGUCUCCAUGAUAACUUGUCCACGUAAACGUAACCAUGUGGAAAUAAGUGAUUCUCAUAAGCAAAAGAAUAUGCUUUUAAGGUUAGACGUUCAAUGAAACAUCAAUUUAUUAAGAAAGAAUCAAAUUGUACCAAACAAGGCGAUCAAAUGGAUAUGAAAUUUAAUACUGGAAUUUGCUAACUUGGGUUUUCCAUAAACUCUCAAAUGUUUGAUUUUGAUAAACUCUUAAAUGUUUGAUUUUGCAAGGAAAGAAAAAAAAGUAAUAAUGAGAAGAGAAAGAGAGAGAGAGCGAAAAGAAGAAGCGACGAAGAAGAAGGAAAAAAAAGGAACGUGGAGAGAUGAAACUUUUUUUUUAAUUAUAAUUUUUUAAUUUUCAGGGGCAAAUUGGUCAAAAGUUUAAUGAAAAAGUUGGAAAAGUGCCUCAUCCCUGACAAGUGGCUCAAAAGGAAUAAAAUUCUCUAAAAGUGCCUAAACGUGUCACAUUCCCUAUUAUACUCCCUAUGAUUUUUUAAAAAUUAAUUUUCUAGAAAAAACAUACAUAUUAAAAUAUAUAUUAAAAGGUGAUUAUAUAUAUAUAU